GACGAACGCUGGCGGCGUGCUUAACACAUGCAAGUCGAACGGAAAGGCCCUGCUGUUGUGGGGUGCUCGAGUGGCGAACGGGUGAGUAACACGUGAGUAACCUGCCCUUGACUUUGGGAUAACUUCAGGAAACUGGGGCUAAUACCGGAUAGGAGCUCCUGCUGCAUGGUGGGGGUUGGAAAGUUUCGGCGGUUGGGGAUGGACUCGCGGCUUAUCAGCUUGUUGGUGGGGUAGUGGCUUACCAAGGCUUUGACGGGUAGCCGGCCUGAGAGGGUGACCGGCCACAUUGGGACUGAGAUACGGCCCAGACUCCUACGGGAGGCAGCAGGGGGGAAUAUUGCACAAUGGGCGGAAGCCUGAGGCAGCAACGCCGCGUGCGGGAUGACGGCCUUCGGGUUGUAAACCGCUUUCGCCUGUGACGAAGCGUGAGUGACGGUAAUGGGUAAAGAAGCACCGGCUAACUACGUG
rnacentral:rRNA from 1 species